GGGGAUGCAAUUGCAUCGACAAGAUUUGCUCUUUAAAAAAUGCAAGCCGACAACGACUAAAUGUCGUAAAACUAGUCAAAAUAUAAAUGCUAGAGGUAACUCUUCAUUUCAAUUCGCUUACGCAAACGCUUAAGUAAAUUGAUGUUCAUAAUGUCUUUUCUCAAUGGGACUUUUUGAGCAUAAAUACAGUUGAGAAAUUAAUAAGGAAGAUGGUUAGCUCCUUAUCGAAUUUAUAACCUUGGUUUUAUUUAUUCCUUUCUAUCGGAAAAGAAUAAAACGACUUUUAAAGAUAGGAUAAGCUUGUAGAUGUUUUUAAAAUGUUUUCUUGGACUCGGGGUCACUCUCCGACAUCUCCACCG
rnacentral:tmRNA from 1 species